rnacentral:ncRNA from 1 species
CCGACCCGUCUUGAAACACGGACCAAGGAGUCUGACAUGCGUGCGAGUCGACGGGUUUUGAAACCUGGGAUGCGCAAGGAAGCUGACGAGCGGGAGGCCCUCACGGGCCGCACCGCUGGCCGACCCUGAUCUUCUGUGAAGGGUGCGGGUUGGAGCACGCCUGUCGGGACCCGAAAGAUGGUGAACUAUGCCUGAGCGGGGCGAAGCCAGAGGAAAC